UUACGGUCACAUCCCGUCGAAACACCGCUUCCCGUAAAAUCACCGAAGUUAAGCAACAUCGAUCCUGGUCUUUACCUAGAUGGGUGACCGUUUGGUAAUACUGGGUGCUGUAAU